GGUGGAAGCUUCCAAAGGGAUCGCAUUGAUCCAUAUUAUUAGAUAUUUGAUGAUCAACUCUUUUAUUUAUCAUCAUGGAAUGGAAGCACUUGAUAAUUUGGAUCGUGCUAUCUCUUCGGAAGUUUCCUC
rfam:Helianthus annuus linkage group 7, whole genome shotgun sequence.